GGUUCUUUGUAAAUAAAAUAAAGAAUCUUACCUGCCCAGUGAUGAGUAUUUAACGGCCGCGGUAAUUUAACUGUGCGAAGGUAGCAUAAUCAAUUGUCUAUUAAUUGUAGACUGGAAUGAAGGGUAGAACUAAAAAGUAAUUGUCUUGAAAUUAAUUUGAAGUUUUUAUUUUUUUGAGGAGAAAAAAAUGAGUUAAAGGGACGAGAAGACCCUAUUGAGCUUUAUAUGUGGGGAUGUAAUUAGGGAUAGAGUUGUGGGAUGUUUUCACAUAUUUCGCUGGGGCGGUGGGUUUAAAAUUGAAACAAAUUUUUAGAAGGAUAUAGCUGGGUGAAAAUUUGAUCCAAUAUUAUUGAGUAUAAGACUAAGUUACUGUAGGGAUAACAGCGUAAUUUUAUUUUGAAGUACUGAUUUAUGAUGAAGAUUGCGACCUCGAUGUUGGUUUAGGGUUCUUAUUUGGCGCAAAUGCUUAAUUAAGUAGUCUGUUCGACUAUUAAAUUCCUAUA
rnacentral:rRNA from 1 species